rnacentral:rRNA from 1 species
GACGAACGCUGGCGGCGUGCCUAAUACAUGCAAGUUGAGCGCUGAAGGUUGGUACUUGUACCAACUGGAUGAGCAGCGAACGGGUGAGUAACGCGUGGGGAAUCUGCCUUUGAGCGGGGGACAACAUUUGGAAACGAAUGCUAAUACCGCAUAAAAACUUUAAACACAAGUUUUAAGUUUGAAAGAUGCAAUUGCAUCACUCAAAGAUGAUCCCGCGUUGUAUUAGCUAGUUGGUGAGGUAAAGGCUCACCAAGGCGAUGAUACAUAGCCGACCUGAGAGGGUGAUCGGCCACAUUGGGACUGGGACACGGCCCAAACUCCUACGGGAGACAGCAGUAGGGAAUCUUCGGCAAUGGACGAAAGUCUGACCGAGCAACGCCGCGUGAGUGAAGAAGGUUUUCGGAUCGUAAAACUCUGUUGGUAGAGAAGAACGUUGGUGAGAGUGGAAAGCUCAUCAAGUGACGGUAACUACCCAGAAAGGGACGGCUAACUACGUGCCAGCAGCCGCGGUAAUACGUAGGUCCCGAGCGUUGUCCGGAUUUAUUGGGCGUAAAGCGAGCGCAGGUGGUUUAUUAAGUCUGGUGUAAAAGGCAGUGGCUCAACCAUUGUAUGCAUUGGAAACUGGUAGACUUGAGUGCAGGAGAGGAGAGUGGAAUUCCAUGUGUAGCGGUGAAAUGCGUAGAUAUAUGGAGGAACACCGGUGGCGAAAGCGGCUCUCUGGCCUGUAACUGACACUGAGGCUCGAAAGCGUGGGGAGCAAACAGGAUUAGAUACCCUGGUAGUCCACGCCGUAAACGAUGGGUGCUAGAUGUAGGGAGCUAUAAGUUCUCUGUAUCGCAGCUAACGCAAUAAGCACUCCGCCUGGGGAGUACGACCGCAAGGUUGAAACUCAAAGGAAUUGACGGGGGCCCGCACAAGCGGUGGAGCAUGUGGUUUAAUUCGAAGCAACGCGAAGAACCUUACCAGGUCUUGACAUACUCGUGCUAUUCCUAGAGAUAGGAAGUUCCUUCGGGACACGGGAUACAGGUGGUGCAUGGUUGUCGUCAGCUCGUGUCGUGAGAUGUUGGGUUAGGUCCCGCAACGAGCGCAACCCCUAUUGUUAGUUGCCAUCAUUAAGUUGGGCACUCUAACGAGACUGCCGGUGAUAAACCGGAGGAAGGUGGGGAUGACGUCAAAUCAUCAUGCCCCUUAUGACCUGGGCUACACACGUGCUACAAUGGAUGGUACAACGAGUCGCGAGACAGUGAUGUUUAGCUAAUCUCUUAAAACCAUUCUCAGUUCGGAUUGUAGGCUGCAACUCGCCUACAUGAAGUCGGAAUCGCUAGUAAUCGCGGAUCAGCACGCCGCGGUGAAUACGUUCCCGGGCCUUGUACACACCGCCCGUCACACCACGGGAGUUGGGAGUACCCGAAGUAGGUUGCCUAACCGCAAGGAGGGCGCUUCCUAAGGUAAGACCGAUGACUGGGGUGAAGUCGUAACAAGGUAGCCGUAUCGGAAGG